rnacentral:lncRNA from 1 species
UAUCUUAACAAUCAUAACAACUAAUCAUGGCAUCUUAUCAUAUCUCUAAGAUAUAAAAAUAUAAUUAUAUACCAUAAUUAUAACUAAGCAUCUCAAGCAUAUCAUAUAUGCAUGAAAUUUUAAUAAUAUGCAUGAAUACAAAAUACUCUAUUUGUAGUUUUUCUUCUUGGGACAUCAUAGUGGCACCCCUACACACCAUAAGAGUACCCUAU